AGGGUCCCGCGGGGGUCUCUCACGUCCUUCGGAGCGGUGGUGCGUGUGGUCCGUGAGCAUCCAGCCAGGUGGCAGGGUGGAGGGUGUGCUCCGGAAAUGUCGGCUUUUCCCUCCACCCGCAGCCUCAGGCUAAGAAAUCCAAGAUCAAGGAGCCAGUAGAUGCGGUGUCUGAUGACGGAAGGCUCACUUUGUGCGCCACAGAUACGCUCAGAACUGGACCAUUUCCACUGCAACCACCCUGACCUGAACCACCAGCAUCUCUCAACUGGGUCACCAUGACAACCUGCCGACCUUAAGUUCUUCCUGCUUCUAUACUUUCUCCUGCUUCUAGAGGAAUCUUUCAUCUUUUUAAAAGGAUCAGGAGAGCUGGAGGCAGGCAGGACCAGAUGGCGUUCUCGCACGUGCACGGAGGGAACAACUGGAGCUGGGCGGAGCGAGGGCAGCCUCGGCUCGCCAAUUGCUGAUAUGUGCCGCACAGAGGUCGGAGGGGAGUGCUGCCCCUGUGGCCUUAUGGGGGAAAUGUAUUGAAGUGCAUUUUGGGGGUUGGGAUGGGGUCUAUUCCCAGGCAUGUAAGUGUCCUGCAAUGCACAAUACAGUUCCCUCCAAUGAAGACCGUCCUGCUGCAAGUGCCAGGGCCCCUCCGCCCCCCAGAGAGAAACACAGUACUGGAUAAGGCUUGUCUAUGGAAUGUUGCUCAUUGAUAGGAGAUUUUAAGGACUGCUCCUCAAGAAUCCUGCUGGGACCCAGAUAUUCUACUUAUUUAUCAAAUCGCUAACCCAGAUCUAGUUUGAUGUCCCCUACCUUGUGGCAUGCAAAAACAAAACAAACCAAAAAAACUACUAAAAACCAAAAAACAGCACUUUAUGGACUCCAAUAAAGGCUCCUCUCAA